CAGAUGUUGAAGAGAGAUACAGCGCUAGCAACUGCAUCUGUUUACGAGUCAAUGUUUGCUACAGAAGAUGGCACCAUCCCUGCUACAUUCCAGGUUAUCUAUAUGACAGGGUGGAAGGAACACCAUUCGCAGCAGAAGGCUAAAAGUAGGGGAUCUGCACACUACAAGAAAAAGAGGAUAUCACCACGUUUUUUUUUCUGACGUUUUUGAAAAACGUCGUGAAAUCUCCUAUACUUUUUUCCAUUUUG